rnacentral:rRNA from 1 species
GGACUACAGGGGUUUCUAAUCCUGUUUGCUCCCCACGCUUUCGCGCCUCAGUGUCAGUAUCAGUCCAGGUAGCCGCCUUCGCCACUGAUGUUCCUUCCGAUAUCUACGCAUUUCACUGCUACACCGGAAAUUCCACUACCCUCUACCGUACUCCAGCUAAACAGUCUUCGUUGCUGUUCCUAGGUUAAGCCCAGGGAUUUCACAACCAACUUAUCUAACCACCUACGCGCCCUUUACGCCCAGUUAUUCCGAUUAACGCUCGCACCCUCUGUAUUACCGCGGCUGCUGGCAC